AUCGCCAGCGAACUCGAACUCGACCUCGAAGCUGUUGUUUUUUGUGCGAAGCAGGGGGCUGUUCUGCUGUGAAUUUUUGAGCUCUUGUUGCUGUUUUCUACAUGGAUGAAACAUGUAAUUUACAAUUGGUUUAAGGAUGGUUUUGAGGGCUGAUUUGGGAGAUGGACUGUUGCUUUUUUUUUUUGCAGCGAUUUGGGGAUGAAAAUAAGGUGAUUUGCUGGGGUUUUGGAUUGAUUUUUUCAGCAAAGUUUCACUGAUUUUGCUGCUCUCAAAACUGGAUUUCGUAGCUGAUUUGGGGAAAAUUAAGGCUGGAGUUGAGUAGUGUUUUGGCUAUUAAUUUGGGUGAUUU
rnacentral:lncRNA from 1 species